UACGUAGGGCGCGAGCGUUGUCCGGAAUCAUUGGGCGUAAAGAGCUCGUAGGCGGCCUGCCGCGUCUGCUGUGAAAUCCCGGGGCUUAACCCCGGGCGUGCAGUGGAUACGGGCUGGCUGGAGGCAGGCAGGGGAGAACGGAAUUCCCGGUGUAGCGGUGAAAUGCGCAGAUAUCGGGAGGAACACCGGUGGCGAAGGCGGUUCUCUGGGCCUGUACUGACGCUGAGGAGCGAAAGCGUGGGGAGCGAACAGG
rnacentral:rRNA from 1 species